CCAGGUGGGAUUUUAUUUAAUUUACGUGAGGGGGUCGGUGACACGGUGUACUCCUUUUCCCAAAUUCCUCUUUUCUUUUUUUUUCCAGAUCACACCUUUGUUGUCCCCCAUACAGUACUGUAUUUCAUUACCCCACUUUUUAUAAUUCUAUAUCCAACUUCCCCACUUUUGGUAAUCUCGUCCCACCACAUCCCACUAUAUCCAAUUUCGAUACUUGCAAGAUUCAUUUGCGAAAUAUAAUUAAAUUUAAUUAGUUAGACAUGCAAUUGUAAAGACCUUUCUCAACUACUCUUUCAUUGAAAAUCUUUUCCAACAUUUAUACAGCUGUAGCGAG
rnacentral:lncRNA from 1 species